rnacentral:rRNA from 1 species
GACGAACGCUGGCGGCGUGCUUAACACAUGCAAGUCGAACGGAAAGGCCCCUUUUGGGGUACUCGAGUGGCGAACGGGUGGGUAACACGUGAGUAACCUGCCCUUGACUUCGGGAUAACUUCAGGAAACUGGGGCUAAUACCGGGUAGGAAUCCUUGCUGCAUGGUGGGGGUUGGAAAGCUUCGGCGGUUUUGGAUGGACUCGAGGCUUAUCAGCUUGUUGGUGGGGUAGUGGCUUACCAAGGCUUUGACGGGUAGCCGGCCCGGGAGGGCGACCGGCCACAUUGGGACUGGGACACGGACCCGACUCCGACGGGAGGGAGAGGUGGGGAAGAUUGAUAAAGGAGCGGGAGCCUGAUGCAGCAACGCCGCGGGCGGGAUGACGGCCUUCGGGUUGUAAACCGAUUUCAGCAGGGGCGAAGCUUGUGGUGACGGUACCUGCAGAAGAAGCACCGGCUAACUACGUG